CACAAAUCCAGCAGGUUUCCAUGAUCAGCCUCAGCUGACAUUAUACUCAAGGAACAAGGCAAACUGACUUAGGGAUGAUAGAAACAUUGACCCCAACAUGGUAUGCGCGGUAUGUUAGGCUCCAUGGUGUAAAGAGCCUCACUGUGACUGAUUCGACAUCACAGAAGGCGAGGCAGAUGCCGCCACACCGAGGGCUCAGUGGGAGAGCCAGGAUAAUGAGGCAUUUUGAAACCACAGACCUUGUCAGGAAGACAGAAACUGGGAAAAGGGCUAAGGUGCUGAGUGAUUAUUUCUCAAAGGAGCAAUGGAACACAAAAUGAAUCUCAGUUUGGGUGAAGUCAGGAAGAGGAGGAAAGAAGAUGUGGUGAGAAUUGUUUACCACUAGAUGUAGUUUAGCUUUAAUGCCUGGUCUCAUUGCGAUGU